rnacentral:tRNA from 1 species
GGCAAGUAGUAUAGGGUGAGUACGCCUUGAUAGAGGAGGCUCCGGUUGAAAUCCGGACAUUGCCA